CAGGGAAUAUUGCGCAAUGAGCGAAAGCUUGACGCAGCGACACCGCGUGUGGGAUGACGGAUCUAGGUUUGUAAACCACUUUCAGGAGGGAAGAAAAUGACGGUACCUCCACAAGAAGCCCCGGCCAACUACGUGCCAGCAGCCGCGGUAAUACGUAGGGGGCGAGCGUUGUCCGGAUUUAUUGGGCGUAAAGAGCUCGUAGGCGGUUCAACAAGUCGGUCGUGAAAGUUCAGGGCUCAACCCUGAAAUGUCGAUCGAUACUGUUGUGACUAGGAUACGGUAGAGGUGAGUGGAAUUCCGAGUGUAGCGGUGAAAUGCGUAGAUAUUCGGAGGAACACCAAUUGCGAAGGCAGCUCACUGGGCCGCUAUCGACGCUGAGGAGCGAAAGCUAGGGGAGCAAACAGG
rnacentral:rRNA from 1 species